rnacentral:rRNA from 1 species
AUUGAACACUGGCGGCAUGCCUUACACAUGCAAGUCGAACGGUAACGCGGGGCAACCUGGCGACGAGUGGCGAACGGGUGAGUAAUAUAUCGGAACGUGCCCAGUUGUGGGGGAUAACUGCUCGAAAGAGCAGCUAAUACCGCAUACGACCUGAGGGUGAAAGCGGGGGAUCGCAAGACCUCGCGCAAUUGGAGCGGCCGAUAUCAGAUUAGGUAGUUGGUGGGGUAAAGGCCUACCAAGCCGACGAUCUGGAGCUGGUCUGAGAGGACGACCAGCCACACUGGGACUGGGACACGUCCCAGACUCCUACGGGAGGCAGCAGUGUGGAAUUUUGGACAAUGGGGGCAACCCUGAUCCAGCCAUGCCGCGUGCGGGAAGAAGGCCUUCGGGUUGUAAACCGCUUUUGUCAGGGAAGAAAUCCUUUGGGUUAAUACCUCGGAGGGAUGACGGUACCUGAAGAAUAAGCACCGGCUAACUACGUGCCAGCCGCCGCCGUAACAC